rnacentral:lncRNA from 1 species
CUUCAGACGAAGAGCCAAGUUUCCUUGGUCCAACAGAUAGAAAGGAAACGGUAGAGGCAGUGAGCUGGAGGAAGUGCGGUGGCAGUUCUGAAGAUAAGGAUGUGUGUGGCUUUGAUGGGAUCUUAAUAACCUCAGAUGACGAACCGACCACAAAGACGGGUCCAAAUUUAAUGUUUGCGAAGAGUACAAAUAUGUUGACAAGGAGAAGGACAUAGUCUUCCGAGAAACUCGCUUCAAAUCCAGCACUGUCAGAUUAUCAGCUUUAAGUGGAUUUGGAAAUCUCUCCCCGACAGAGAAUGAAAGGAAGACACACGAACUCAGUGAUGAAGACUCCUCAGAAUCUGUGUCAUCAGUAUCAUCACUAACAUAUGACACUGAUACGUUACGUUUCGAGCUGAAGCAAAAAGGUUAUGUCCCUGGUCCAAUCACAUUCACGACGAAGAGACUCUACUUGCGGAAGCUGAAAAGGAUAAAUCGAAAAAAUCAGAGAUGUUAUGUGAUUCUGGAGUCAUUGUUCAAAAUCCAGGUAAGUGAUUUCUGCCGUAAAACGCAUUUUUCCCAGUUAAUUUUUGUUCUCCAAGCACAGUCAAAAUGUUAUUGAUCGUUCUCCACAAGUAAUUUUUGAAUAGCUUCAUGAUAAGUUAAGCAACUACAUCUACAAAAGCAGCUUUUACAAUGCUUACUGGCGCCUAGCGACACCUUGAUAGCUUGAGACGCCUCUACACUGAGUUAAUCGCGCACCCAA